rnacentral:rRNA from 1 species
UACGUAGGGUGCGAGCGUUAAUCGGGAAUUACUGGGCGUAAAGCGUGCGCAGGCGGUUUUGUAAGCCAGAUGUGAAAUCCCCGGGCUUAACCUGGGAAUGGCAUUUGGGACUGCAAGGGCUGGAGUGUGGCAGAGGAGACUGGAAUUCCUGGUGUAGCAGUGAAAUGCGUAGAUAUCAGGAGGAAUACCGAUGGCGAAGG